rnacentral:rRNA from 1 species
AUCUAUGACCAUACCACCCUUAGAGCACCGGAUCUCACCGGAUCUCAGAAGCUAAGCAGGGUCGGGCCUGGUUAGUACUUGGAUGGGGAACAGUCUUCGCAGAUG